UACGGGGGGGGCAAGCGUUGUUCGGAAUUACUGGGCGUAAAGGGCUCGUAGGUGGCCAACUAAGUCAGACGUGAAAUCCUUCGGCUUAACCGGGGAACUGCGUCUGAUACUGGAUGGCUUGAGAUUGGGAGUGGGAUGCGGAAUUCCAGGUGUAGCGGUGAAAUGCGUAGAUAUCUGGAGGAACACCGGUGGCGAAGGCGGCAUCCUGGACCAACACUGACACUGAGGAGCGAAAGCCAGGGGAGCAAACGGG
rnacentral:rRNA from 1 species